UAAGCUCAAAAGAACAUAACCUUACUAUCUCUAGCUUCAAUUAUGGGAAUAUCUUGAACUUCCAUUGUUUUUAUAGAAAACAUUAAAUUACGAGUACAAAUUAUAGAACACGAAAGGGAAAGGAAUUGGGGUUUGUAGUUUGUAGUUUGUACAACAACGAAGAGGAAUUGGGGAAAAAAAGAGGCGAUAGCGAGCCGAUAGUCGAAAACAGAGACGAGUUUUGUACUUCCUUGACGAUUAAUUAGUUUUGUAAAUCAAUUGCGACGAGGUUCUUAUUCAAAGGUUUAGUAAGCAUUGGGAGCUGAAGUAGGAACUGAGACGAAGGAGCUUUAGAAGAACCAUGAGGGCAAGUAAAGACAGAAGAAGAGUUCCAGCAAUGGAACUUCCCGAAUUUUCUUAACAGAAACUUCAAAACGGGUUGUAACGACCUGGUUCCGGUGUAAUGCUGGGGCAAGCCUCAACAACCAAGGAUCAGUGCAAAGAUCGAGAUAUCAACCGAAAAAGAUGGACUUCAUAACUUAUAGUUGUAUAAAAGAUAAGUUUAAUUUGUAGGUUGAUGUAAACUCAUUAAUGGCUGUUAUGCAUGGAACUUAUUAGAAA